AGAUAGAAACCCAAAUUGAUCAUGAGAGGAAUUUCAUCAAAUCAAAACCAUCCAUUCAUUUUGGGAGAUGAAAUGUACAUUUCAUCAAUUCCCUAAAUCCAAUGGUUUUGAUCCAACAAAAGUCAAAUCAACCAUAACCAAGGCUCAAACAGAAAGUCAAACAACACAAGACCAUAAAAGUGGCUCAACAAUAUGUUUAUACAUUUAAUCAAUUAAAAUUCAAUUUAAAAAUGAAUUAAAAUGCAUUUUAAUUUG
rnacentral:lncRNA from 1 species